rnacentral:rRNA from 1 species
UACAGAGGGUGCAAGCGUUGUUCGGAAUUACUGGGCGUAAAGCGUGCGCAGGCGGUCUUUUAAGUCAGAUGUGAAAUCCCCGGGCUUAACCUGGGAACUGCGUUUGAAACUGGAAGGCUUGAGUGUGGCAGAGGGGGGUGGAAUUCCACGUGUAGCAGUGAAAUGCGUAGAUAUGUGGAGGAACACCGAUGGCGAAGGCAGCCCCCUGGGCUAACACUGACGCUCAUGCACGAAAGCGUGGGGAGCAAACAGG